AUGGGUGUCAGCAAAAAUAUGCUCAAAAAAGGAGGAAUAUAUCAGAGAGCUCAGAACUUAGCGGUCUCACAUAAGAUGUCCCAGAGGCAAAGCUACCUGUUAAAAGGAUGUUACGGUUUGGCAGAGGAGUGGGGAACAUAUGUAGCCUGCUUCCUUGUAUCAUUCUUGGGUGGUGUGGUGGUUUUACUUGGGUGGGCAGCCAAGCUCCACUCUCUCACUCCGCCUCCUCAAAGGGAAAGGGAGGGAAAAUAUGAUGCAAAGGGCUCAAGGAUUGAGAUAUGGACGGGAAGGUUGCGCAACUAUUAUUGUGAUGGGCAAAACAGAGUCAGAGCAGGGAGAUAUUAAGUUUCAUUGCCUGUUACUAACAGUCCACAGAAGUGAGAAACAAAGGAAAGAAAACAAAAUCGCCUUCCACCCAUCCACCCUCUUCCACCUCCUCCCCACGAGCGGUGCAGGGGAACGGGGGUAUGGGGGUUGUGAUCAUUCUAUAGUACUUUGUCUCUGACGCUCCUUCUCAGUCACUCUAUUCCCCUGCUCCAAUGUGGGGUCAGUCCCACAGGAUGCAGUCCUUCCCGAACUGAUCCUGUGUGGGCUUCCCACAGGUAGCAGCUCUUCAAGAACUGCUCCAGAUAUGGCUCCGUACCACGGGGUCCAUCCGUCAGGAGGACACUGCUCCAACCUGGGUCCCCCACAAGCAGCACCUCCCCCCAGACUCCCUGAUCCUGUGUGGGCCCCUCUCCACCGGCUGCAGCUCAGGCCCGGAAUCUGCUCCAGUGGGGGUCCUCCACAGGCCGCAGCCUGCAGGGGGGGCAGCUUCUGGAGUCUUCUCACAGAAGCCACCCCUACAGCCCCCUGCUAACAAAACCUUGCCAUGGAUACCCACUACAUGUGGCUUUGAGGGUGCUCAGAAGAGCUGUAUUUGCUGUCAUUUCUCUGUCGUGUGCUCUUUGACUGAAGUGAAUGGGGUAUAUUCAACCUCAGUCAGCACAUUCUACUUUUGCCACUGCUCUUUUCAAGUAAACAGUUUUGCAGAAGUACUACCGUUUUGGUCUGCUUGAGGCAGCGACGAGUGGCAGGAAAUUUGCCAUUUCUUUGGGGCAAAGCCUAUUUCAUCAGAGAGUUUGAUAUGCUGCGGAUGUUGUGGUAAUAAAACUCUCAUAAGGAAUGACUCUCA
rnacentral:lncRNA from 1 species